rnacentral:rRNA from 1 species
GAUAGAUAAAAGGUACUGGAACGUUCUUUUAUCCAAAGCUUUUGCGCCUGAGGAUGGGCCUGCGUCCGAUUAGGUUGUUGGUGGGGUAAUGGCCCACCAAGCCUGCGAUCGGUACGGGCAGUAAGAGCUGAAGCCCGGAGUUGGGGACUGAGACAAGGCCCCAGGCCCUACGGGGCGCAGCAGGCGCGAAACCUCUGCAAUGCGGGAAACCGUGACAGGGGGAUCCCAAGUGCUCAUUCAUUGCAUGGGCUGUUCUUUGGUCUAAGUAACCAGAGGAGUAAGGGCUGGGCAAGACCGGUGCCAGCCGCCGCGGUAAUACCGGCAGCUCAAGUGGUAGCCGCGAUUAUUGGGCCUAAAACGUUCGUAGCCGGAUAAGUAAGUCUUUGGUUAAAUCCUGCGACUUAGCCGUGGGAAAUCUAGAGAUACUGCUUGUCUUGAGACCGGGAGAGGUUGGAGGUACUCCCAGGGUAGGGGUGAAAUCCUGUAAUCCUGGGGGGACCACCUGUGGCGAAGGCGUCCAACUGGAACGGGUCUGACGGUGAGGGACGAAACCUAGGGGAGCGAGCCGGAUUAGAUACCCGGGUAGUCCCAGCUGUAAACGAUGCGCGUUAGGUGUGUCAGUGACCACGUGUCACUGAGGUGCCGAAGGGAAACCGUGAAACGCGCCGCCUGGGGAGUACGGUCGCAAGGCUGAAACUUAAAGGAAUUGGCGGGGGAGCACAAUC